GUGUACCAGUUGAACACUCCGGUUCCUCCGCACCGCCCGCACCCACCUGACGACCGCUCGCGACGUUUUGUGAGCC
rnacentral:sRNA from 1 species